rnacentral:rRNA from 1 species
AACGAACGCUGGCGGCAGGCUUAACACAUGCAAGUCGAACGGUUGCAGCAAUGCAGCAGUGGCAGACGGGUGAGUAACACGUGGGAACCUUCCUAGGGGUACGGAACAACUCAGGGAAACUUGAGCUAAUACCGUAUACGUCCGUGAGGAGAAAGAUUUAUCGCCCUUAGACGGGCCCGCGUCGGAUUAGCUAGUUGGUGGGGUAACGGCCUACCAAGGCGACGAUCCGUAGCUGAUCUUAGAGGAUGAUCAGCCACACUGGGACUGAGACACGGCCCAGACUCCUACGGGAGGCAG